UACGAAGGGGGGCUAGCGUUGCUCGGAAUUACUGGGCGUAAAGCGCACGUAGGCGGCUUGUUAAGUCAGGGGUGAAAUCCUGGAGCUCAACUCCAGAACUGCCUUUGAUACUGAGAAGCUUGAGUUCGGGAGAGGUGAGUGGAACUGCGAGUGUAGAGGUGAAAUUCGUAGAUAUUCGCAAGAACACCAGUGGCGAAGGCGGCUUACUGGUCCGGUUCUGACGCUGAGGCGCGAAAGCGUGGGGAGCAAACAGG
rnacentral:rRNA from 1 species